UUUGCAGGCUACACCCACCAGUACAAAGUUUGGGCAAAGUUCAUUAGCGGGAGCAAAAAUGAUCAUGUGGCUAAACUUAGUGUCCUUACUAGCAGUCUUGAGAGGUGUCCAAUCUGACGUUCAGUUGGUGGAGUCUGGGGGGGAUGUGAGAAGACCUGGAGAAUCCCUCCGUCUCUCCUGCCAAGGUUCUGGAUACAGCUUUGGUGACCACAGCAUGUACUGGGUGAGACAGGCUCCAGGGAAAGGACUGGAAUGGAUAGCCUACAUAAGAUAUGAUGCCGGUGCUAUUUCCUACUCAGACAAAGUAAAGGGCCGCUUCACCAUCUCCCGGGACAAUGCCAAAAGUCAGCUGUAUCUGCAAAUGAACAGCCUCAAAACCGAAGACACAGGAGUCUAUUACUGUGCAAGAGACACAGUGAGAGGAAGUGAAUCUGAAGCUAAGCAAAAACCUUCUCCUCCUUUGAGCAGCUUUCCAAAGUGA